UGCUGCUGGACUGUCUUUAAGCCUUGUCAUGAACACCUGAAUUACAUAACAUUAGAGUGACUAUAUGUAUGAAUUGAAUCCUAUAUUCUGCGUAAAACUUGUUGAGUUCUGAAGAAUGCUGGAGUCUGGUUCAUGACUUUCUAACUUUUUAAUGAAUAAGGGACCAAUGACCUGUAUUUCAUAAAUAUUUGCUAGAUAGGAAACAUGUUUUCCAUUACUUCUUUAGAUUAUUCAAAACACAUAAUAGGUCUUUUAACUAUUUGAUUGGUGAAAAACCUGUGGUUUAUCUAGAGAAAUAAUUCAUUUAAUCACGGUCCUGUUUAAAAAGUAGUAAAUCAUGGUUAUUUGCCUUGUGACAAAUCUGUAAUUUACCUGAAAUUCAUGGUAAAUUUGUUUUAUUUAUGAAGGUUCAAGUGAAAAUUUUAUAAUCAGUUGUGUACAGGUGAUUAACACAUUACUGAAAAAUAUCUGGGCUAUAUUAUGCCACAUCUCAUGCGAUAUUUCUUCAUAGGAAAGUUUAAUGGAUUAAGAGUGGGUAUGUCUCUGUGAGUGAAUCUGAAAGGCAGAUACCAGCUUAGUGUUGAGAAUGAACUGGCUGGAACCUAAAACACUGAGUGUUCUGCAUACCCAGCUCCUACCUAUAUCAUCUCAGCCUUCCUCCUCUGGACAUUAAAAGGGAUUCUCUGUCUAAACUAAAAUGUCUGUGAUGUUUUAGAACAAAGUGACUUUUGAAGAUGUAGCUAUUGACUUCACCCAGGAAGAGUGGGCCAUGAUGGACACAUCCAAGAGAAAGUUGUACAGAGAGGUAAUGCUGGCAAACAUCAGUCACCUGGUGUCCCUCGGGUACAGAUAAGCAAAUCCUAUAUAACUUUGCAGCUGGAGCAAGGAAAAGAGCUCUGGCGGGAAGGAAGAGAAUCUCUGCAAGGCCAGAAUCUGGACAAGGAAAGUGCCCU